UCAAGGAUGCCGAGGCGGAGUCCAAAGUCCUGAGGAAGAGACUUUGAGAGUCAGAGGGCGAAAGCCGACGGUUCCACCAGAUGUCUCAGAAGAUGCUGCUAAGAAAGAUGGAACUAGAAGAAGAAGUCGAAAACUUAAAGCAAUCUCUCAUAAAGACUGGAACCGAGAGCUCUGAGUCGGAAGAAGCCAAGCUUUCUUAAAGCUUCUUUUAUCUUUUAUUCUUCCAUGUAUUCUUUUUUUUUCUUGUCAUUUUUCUUUUUUGGCCUUCAAGGCUUUGUAAUGUAUACUUCACUAAUGAAAUGAAAAGGAAAUUUUCUAUUACCUUGUCCAUUCU
rnacentral:lncRNA from 1 species